GGACUGCAGCGAGGCAGCGGCGCAGGAGGCAAGCACCAGCAGACAGCGCGCGCCGCCACCGACUGCUCCGGCCGUGACCAGCUCCGGCGGCAAGAUGCGCUUGUUGGUGCUACUGUGUGUGGUGACGACCGCCCUGGCGGUUCCGUCCAUGUACUCCAAGGAUGACCACGUCUACAGGCUGGAUCUGGUGCCCUGUAUCGUCAACCGGUGAUUCCUCUGGAGGACCUGGAGUACACCUGUUGGCGUCGGCUUCGGCGUUCACGACGCUAAAGGAUCCAAGUACUACUCUAAAAAUAGCAAGCCAUCGGAGCUUAUCACCGCAGGUGAGAAACGGAAGAAGACCGCGAAUAACAACGCCCGGGUCAAGCAGCUGACGAAGGCAGAUUUUGAGCGCUUCUAAGGCGGCAGUUUCAUGGAUAAGUUCUGGGUUCCGGUCCAAGAGCGUCUUCAGUGGCUCAGCGGUCUACUGUACCUGAUAUCGUGACCUGCCCGGGUUUGACCGCGUCCUGACCUGGCGACCUGAUGCGGGAGGAGCUCCGCUCUGACCUGCUGAUGUUGUGCGACAAGGCAGCUUGGGAGAGCGCCCACGCAGCUAGUAGCUUAGGAUCGUUAAACUGCGGUGUGUUGCAGCGGUGAUGACGCUUGUCCGCCGCUCUCGGACAUCACGUUUGCUGUCUGAGUGGCAGGUCAUGGUCCACGUUAUUAAUCAACCAGUAAUUUGGUAGGAUAAAGACAAAGACGUGGGAGGUACGGAUGCCCAGGUAGUGAUCGAUACCAUGAUAAGGCAGCGUACCGACACGGUUGGACCGCGUAAUAGGGCAUGCUAAGCCAUGGAGAUAGCUCACAAAUAACACCUGCACCUAAUAUAUCUUCUAUAAAGGACUGAACCAUGCGCCGAGCAUCGGUACUUCAUUAGUCGUGGUUAACUUACACCUGUGCUUUGUACUUGCGCACGUAUUAAUGUAUGUGUUUGUGAGUCAGGCGUGUUUCCUAACUGACACGCCUGUUGUUUGUCGUCAAACAAUGAAGCGACAUGGGUACAUUAACACUAAACUUCAAGCUUUGCUACGUACACGAUAAGUUACCAAAAUUUAGUUUUUACAUGCACUGUAUUAACUGUUUCAUCGUAGAACGCAUGACCCUUCAUUGGGAAUACGACUCACACUAGGAUGUGCCUCGUGGGCAUGCAAAUGAUCUUUGACGCAGUGCUGUGAUAGCGAUGUGGUUUUGUAAUGCGACCAAUUUAUGAAAAUAAAUAUAUUAACCCAG